GGAGAAGCUGGGGAGGGCUGAAUCACCAACCAGGAAAGCCCCUGAGGGAUGCAAUGGGGUGGGGGUGGGGGUGGGGGGCUGUGACGGAAAGAGGGAGAUGAGAUGUGGAUAUGGAGCCGGGCAAUGGGAGCCAGCAGCCCAGGGUGGGCAGCAGGGAGGAGUGUGGGGGUUGGGAUGAAACACGAGUGACGAAUGGCUGGAGGCCCAGCUUUUAAGAACAGGAACGUCCCAGUGUCACUUUCAGCUUUGUGCUGAGCAGCGCAGUGACUUCGAGCGACCCAAACAGCUUCUGCUCAUAGAGCAGCCUGGUGUUCAUGGUUUCUUGGGAGAGGAAAUGGGCUGCAUCCUACGUUUGAAUCAAUUCCAGGGCAGAAAUAAAGGGAACAGCUGCCGGAAUUUAGCAGAAGGAGGAACGCAGAGCCACACAAUUAGCCCAAGUCACCACCUUCAGGUUCUAUUAUACAUGUGACAUCGUCUGGCUCCGGACAGAGCAGUGUCUGGAACACACCUUCGCUAGGAGGUAUGGAACAAACAAAAGAAGACAAUUACCAAGUGGGAUGAAGACAAUUACCAAGUGGGAUGAGUGAAUAAAAGAUACAGGAAGUCUACAGAAAGACACAGGAAGAGGAGGCCACACCUAAAUGCUGGCAAGGGAGCAGGCAACAGGGUCAGACGCCAAGCCUCAGACCCCUCCUGGAUACGAACCAUCCCCUGCCUCAUCAGAGCCUGGGAAGAUUUCCUACUCGUGAGGCUAACGAAUCGCUCAGAACACAACCAUCUCAUUAAGCAAUUAGCUCUGGGAGCGCCAAGGCAAGGAAGUGACCUCACUGGCCGCUCGACACGACACCGCCCUGCCGCUGGGGAGGAAGAUUGCCGGAAAGCAGGAGGAGCACUGCGUGGAGUUAAGUGGUGCAAUCUCUCUGGGCUUCUGAAAAUAGCAGAUGACCAGGACCAGGCCGGGUGAUUUCUAAAUUACUUCCAGCGCAAAAAAAAAAAAUUCUUAGUGGUCAGACUGCUACCAACUCCACAGGUCACUCCCCUCACACCUGCCCCUGGAGGGCGCAGUCCCUUUAAAAACCAAGGCCUUGCCUUACGCUUGGGCCAAUCACCGUGAACAGAAGUUCUUUAAGGACCAAAGGAGGGAAUUCAGCCGGAGGAGGGCGGGGCAGGGGCGUGCCUUCCAGCCAAUCGGAAUCUUCUUGGCGACUAGGGACUCACGUGCAAAGCUCUGC
rnacentral:lncRNA from 1 species